rnacentral:rRNA from 1 species
AACGCGAAGAACCUUACCCAGGCUCGAAAUGUAAUUGACAAUACCAGAAAUGGUACGUUUCGCAAGAACAAUUAUAUAGGUGCUGCAUGGCUGUCGUCAGCUCGUGCCGUGAGGUGUUUGGUUAAGUCCAGCAACGAGCGCAACCCUUAUCAUUAGUUGCCAACAUGAAAGAUGGGGACUCUAGUGAGACUGCCUAGGUUAACUAGGAGGAAGGUGAGGAUGACGUCAAGUCCGCAUGGCCUUUAUGUCUGGGGCUACACACGUGCUACAAUGGUCGGUACAGAAGGCAGCAAGACCGCAAGGUGGAGCAAAUCCGAAAAGCCGAUCUCAGUUCAGAUUGUAGUCUGCAACUCGACUACAUGAAGUUGGAAUUGCUAGUAAUGACGUGUCAGCAACAACGUCGUGAAUACGUUCCCGGGCCUUGUACACACCGCUAGUC